UGGGGAAUUUUGGACAAUGGGGGAAACCCUGAUCCAGCCAUCCCGCGUGUGCGAUGAAGGACUUCGGGUUGUAAAGCACUCUUGGCAGGAAAGAAACGUCAUGGGUUAAUACCCCGUGAAACUGACGGUACCUGCAGAAUAAGCACCGGCUAACUACGUGCCAGCAGCCGCGGUAAUACGUAGGGUGCAAGCGUUAAUCGGAAUUACUGGGCGUAAAGCGUGCGCAGGCGGUUCGGAAAGAAAGAUGUGAAAUCCCAGAGCUCAACUUUGGAACUGCAUUUUUAACUACCGGGCUAGAGUGUGUGAGAGGGGGGUGUAAUUCCGCGUGUAGCAGUGAAAUGCGUAGAUAUGCGGAGGAACACCGAUGGCGAAUGCAGCCUCCUGGGAUAACACUGACGCUCAUGCACGAAAGCGUGGGGAGCAAACAUG
rnacentral:rRNA from 1 species